rnacentral:lncRNA from 1 species
UGCCUGGAUCCUGCAGGUCCCCUCGGAGCACCUGGCCAUGAACUUUCAUGAGGCAGCUGGGGGCUGAACGAGGAGGAGCGGCUGAUCCGGCACCUGUUUCAAGAGAAGGGCUACAACAAGGAGCUCCGGCCCGUGGCACACAAAGAGGAGAGUGUGGACGUUGCCCUGGCCCUCACACUCUCCAACCUCAUCUCCCUGAAAGAAGUUGAGGAGACCCUCACUACCAAUGUGUGGAUAGAGCACGGCUGGACAGACAACCGGCUGAAGUGGAAUGCUGAAGAAUUUGGAAACAUCAGUGUCCUGCGCCUCCCCC